rnacentral:rRNA from 1 species
CCUACGGGAGGCAGCAGUGAGGAAUAUUGGUCAAUGGACGAGAGUCUGAACCAGCCAAGUAGCGUGAAGGAUGACUGCCCUAUGGGUUGUAAACUUCUUUUAUAUGGGAAUAAAAUGUUCCACGUGUGGGAUUUUGUAUGUACCAUAUGAAUAAGGAUCGGCUAACUCCGUGCCAGCAGCCGCGGUAAUACGGAGGAUCCGAGCGUUAUCCGGAUUUAUUGGGUUUAAAGGGAGCGUAGGUGGAUUGUUAAGCCAGUUGUGAAAGUUUGCGGCUCAACCGUAAAAUUGCAGUUGAAACUGGCAGUCUUGAGUACAGUAGAGGUGGGCGGAAUUCGUGGUGUAGCGGUGAAAUGCUUAGAUAUCACGAAGAACUCCGAUUGCGAAGGCAGUUCACUGGACUGCAACUGACACUGAGGCUCGAAAGUGUGGGUAUCAAACAGGAUUAGAUACCCCAGUAGUC